CCGCAUUCCGCCUGAGAGACGACAUGGCGUUCCUCGGGUUCCCUUGAAUGCGUGCAGCUCUCUCGCUCUCUCAUGUCUGAUGCACGCACGCUGUGCUACUGCUAUCUGGUGACUUGCUACGCACACACUGCAACAGGUUCUUCUUUGGUGUAUCAGGCCAGGUCUAAUUUGUUUUCAAAGAUGCUCACAUACACACACAAACGACAUCCAGUAGGCGCUUGGAACACCUGAUAGAUUGAAAGCACAGAAGCAAAUAUUUCCAAUACGAGGCCACGAUGCCCGACAGGGAUGUAGCCAAUAUGCGCCCAAUCCUUAUUU